rnacentral:lncRNA from 1 species
CGACAAAAAAAAUACCAUAUUUUGGGCGGUAGGGUUGUUAGAGAACACAAUAUGGGUUAAAAAUAUAUAUAUAUAUUUUUUAAUCAUAUUUUCCUAUUUUUAUUUGUUCAUGUUUUGGGAAAAACUCGAUCAUUUAAUUGUUGUUGUCAUUUAUAGCCUAGAAUAUGGGACUGUUUAAUUUUUCUCUCCGCUGCAAAGUGUCAGCUCAGCACAUGUUGCCUUAUAGUUGCUCCACCUUGCUUUGUCUCCUGGAAGGUGCUGUCUAGACACUGACGAAAUCAGACGAGACGAACAAAUAACGGAGCUAAAACAAGAAUGUAGCGCCACCUAUUGGUGGUAUUAUAUAUUACGAUCUAUACAAUGAUUUCUUCAAAACGCCGAAGUUGUACUGUAGUGAUGAAUGAGCCAGCCAGGUCUUUUUUUUGGAUGCCACCAAGGCCACAUUUCGUGCUGUUUUCCCAGAGGAGGAUGGAGGGUCAUGGAGGAAGAGGUGCAUCUCCUUCGGGGCAGAUGGUGCCUCCUUGACCCUGGGCCACCGUGGGGGAGUGACUGCACCACCUGCAGAGAGAGGCAGGGGGGGCAUAUAAUCCCAAAUCCACUGUAUGCCACAUAGAGACAGUUGGGAAGGAGGGUGUCCAGACCCCAGUGGAGUCUUUCAGAGUGCUAAACCCCUGACGCAUGGCCAGAAGACCAGGCCAACCUUCACACCUUUGACGAUGAUGUUGUGGCAGACCUGAUGAGGCAUUAUCACGGAGCCUCUAGAGAGGUAAGAAUUUAUUUGACACUGCAUUGCCAUAUAUGAGACAAUGUUACUCACUUGCUCUGUUCAAUCCUGCAGAUCGGGGUGCAACAUGGCUGCUAUCCAGGAUGAGUGACAGGGGCUCAAAAUCCUGGUCAGCCACAAUUUCAAGGACAAGUCCUACAGUGUGGGCGUGUGGGAGACCAUGUUGACAAAGUGUAACCGAUGUGAAAUGGCUAGCUAGUUAGCGGUGGUGCGCGCUAAUAGCGUUUCAAUCGGUGACGUCACUCGCUCUGAGACCUUGAAGUAGUUGUUCCCCUUGCUCUGCAAGGGCCGUGGCUUUUUGUGGAGCGAUGGGUAACGAUGCUUCGAGGGUGGCUGUCGUUGAUGUGUGCAGAGGGUCCCUGGUUCGAGCCCAGGUAGGGUUGCGAGGAGAGGGAUGGAAGCUAUACUGUUACAAAAGGACCCCUACAGGCACAAUUACAAGGUAGACUAAGACGAGGAGUUGGAUCCCACUCCUGCCGUGGACCUCCUGGCUGACCUCUAGCUGACCAGACGGCCAACAUACAGAAGCAGCUGGACAACUGAUAUCCUUUGCGUCUAAUAGACACGGGGUCAAUGUGUGAUUUUUGGUGGUAUGUGCUGUUCCACAGAUGUGUGUCUCUUAGUACACGCACACACACACACA